rnacentral:rRNA from 4 species
GGGUUGUGAGGUUAAGCGACUAAGCGUACACGGUGGAUGCCCUGGCAGUCAGAGGCGAUGAAGGGCGUGCUAAUCUGCGAUAAGCGCCGGUAAGGUGAUAUGAACCGUUAUAACCGGCGAUACCCGAAUGGGGAAACCCAGUGUGACUCGUCACACUAUCAUUAACUGAAUCCAUAGGUUAAUGAGGCGAACCGGGGGAACUGAAACAUCUAAGUACCCCGAGGAAAAGAAAUCAACCGAGAUUCCCCCAGUAGCGGCGAGCGAACGGGGAGGAGCCCAGAGCCUGAAUCAGCAUGUGUGUUAGUGGAAGCGUCUGGAAAGGCGCGCGAUACAGGGUGACAGCCCCGUACACAAAAGCGCAUGUGCUGUGAGCUCGAUGAGUAGGGCGGGACACGUGAUAUCCUGUCUGAAUAUGGGGGGACCAUCCUCCAAGGCUAAAUACUCCUGACUGACCGAUAGUGAACCAGUACCGUGAGGGAAAGGCGAAAAGAACCCCGGCGAGGGGAGUGAAAAAGAACCUGAAACCGUGUACGUACAAGCAGUGGGAGCACCCUUUUGGGUGUGACUGCGUACCUUUUGUAUAAUGGGUCAGCGACUUAUAUUCUGUAGCAAGGUUAACCGAAUAGGGGAGCCGGAGGGAAACCGAGUCUUAACCGGGCGUUAAGUUGCAGGGUAUAGACCCGAAACCCGGUGAUCUAGCCAUGGGCAGGUUGAAGGUUGGGUAACACUAACUGGAGGACCGAACCGACUAAUGUUGAAAAAUUAGCGGAUGACCUGUGGCUGGGGGUGAAAGGCCAAUCAAACCGGGAGAUAGCUGGUUCUCCCCGAAAGCUAUUUAGGUAGCGCCUCGUGAAUUCAUCUCCGGGGGUAGAGCACUGUUUCGGCUAGGGGGCCAUCCCGGCUUACCAACCCGAUGCAAACUGCGAAUACCGGAGAAUGUUAUCACGGGAGACACACGGCGGGUGCUAACGUCCGUCGUGAAGAGGGAAACAACCCAGACCGCCAGCUAAGGUCCCAAAGUCAUGGUUAAGUGGGAAACGAUGUGGGAAGGCCCAGACAGCCAGGAUGUUGGCUUAGAAGCAGCCAUCAUUUAAAGAAAGCGUAAUAGCUCACUGGUCGAGUCGGCCUGCGCGGAAGAUGUAACGGGGCUAAACCAUGCACCGAAGCUGCGGCAGCGA